rnacentral:lncRNA from 1 species
CCUAAGCAUCCAAGAAAUCUUCUCCAAGGAGUGAAAAUUAGGUCUGGCCGCCCUCUUCUGUCAAAAGAAUGAGAAUGAAAUCGCAGCAGGGCUAUUUAUAGUUGAGGAGCGUCACAGAAAAUAGCCCAGGCCCAGCGGACAACCGCCCGGCGGCACACUUAUGUCGCCCCGCGGUUUGCCUCUAAUCGCGCCACCACCCGACUGUAGGGGGCCACCACCCGACAGUUUGCCUCUAAUCGCAAAUCCGCCCAACGCCCAUGCCAGGUGUCUCUCCCUCAUCUUGGACCGCCCAGCGGUAAAUUUUGUCGCCGGGCGGUUUCUUAACUCUUCUUUUCUUCAAUUUUCUUCCUCUAUCUUGAGUCUGAGACCUUCAUCUUCAAUCCCAAUCUUCAUUUUCAUCAAAAUCACUACAAAACAAUGCAAAACAAGCAUAAUAUCGCUAAAAACAGCUUUUGACUCUCGACUGACUCAUUUAUUGAGUUUUACUUUAUUCUAAGCUCAUUCUAAGUCUUAAAGGGUGUAAUUUGGUCGAAAUUGACAUAUGAAAAUAACUAUUUUUCAACCGUUAUCACAACCCCAAACUUAGAACCUUGCUUGUCCUCAAGCAAACAAAACAAAACAGCAAACAAAACAAAGCUUGGCUUUCUACUCAUUCAUCCAAUAAUUCAACAUUCCUAAAGUACAUGACAAGAACUACUCAACUUCAGAUUUUUAGUGGAGUCAAAUUAAGAUGCAUGCAUUCUUCCAAUUCAGUUCAGUUCACAAGUCAUUCAACAAAUGUUACACAUUAUGAAUGAUUAAUCCACUAAGCACAGAUGCAAUCAUGAAAUUUAGCAAUUCUCACCAGGCAAGUGUUUCACUUAAUCACUCAAGUGUUUAGGGUAACACUCCAACACUUUAUCAUUCACAAGUCACAUGAAACAAAAUUGCCCUUAAUCUCAAACAAUCAAAAUCUUCACAUGCAAAUGCCAUCAAAAGGACUUUUCCAAGGCUUGUAAUGAGGCUGGGCUAACAAGAAAAUUGGUUUUUCUAGAAUGCAAAAUCCUUGAGUUAAAAGAGCUAUCAUAGUAUUCAACAUUCAAGAACAACUCUCUUCCUCACCAAUCUCUCUUCUUCCCAACUUUUCCCCUUUUCUUUUGCAUUGAGCCCCUCUUCAUGCUUUUCUUCUUUUCUUUUCUUUUUCUCAUGUAUUUUUCUUUCACAACAUUUGAGCUCAAUGCUUUUUUUCAUUUGCCCUUCAAUUUCCCCCAUGCAACCCCAAACUUGAACCUUUUCAUAACAUACAAUCAAGUUCAUCCCAACUCAAGGUAAAGAAUUUCAAGAGAAGGGUUCACAUCCUAUUUAAGGCUAAGGUUCAAAAAGGGUAUAAUAUUUUCAAACAAUUUGGGUGAAAAUUUGGCUAGAGAAGGGUUUUCAAAAAUGGCCUUGAUCAUAUGACAUUCACAUGCAAUUCAAUCAAUCAUCCAGAUUAAGGCAAUAUCAUUCAUUCUUUCCUGUGAACAAUACAUACAACAAUGAAAAAUUUGGAGCUCAGUAUCUCACACAACAUGCUUUCUCACACAAUUCUCAUUCAUGCACUCUACCCAGCAUCAUAACCACUAUCAUAAAUCAUCACCCAUCUGUUUCACAGAAUAUCAACAUGCACUGCAGCUCAAUUAUCAUCCACAUUAAAUCAUCAGCAAAUAGCUUCAUCAUGCAAAAUAAUUAGUCAAACAUUUUCAGAACAAGUAUUCAAGCCAAUCAUACACACUGAAAAUAAAAUUCAACCUAUUAUACAAAUUUAAAUGCAAAAGUAAAAGAGAGAGAAUCUAGGUUGCCUCCAAGUAGCGCUUGUUUAACGCCGCGAGCCUGACCCAAACCUGUUUAGCACUUGUCAGUAAGUGCAAAUCCUUCCAGCACCCAUCAGUAGGUGUACCAUCCUAUGUUUCAGCAAUUUCAAAAAGUUUGACAUCCCCCAGUAGAUGCCACCCAAAAAUAGUUCCAAAAAUUCAAAAAUUACAUGUUCAACACAAACAUAAAACAAAAUAAUAAAAAUUGUUCAAAAAUACAAAAAGUGCUUUCCAGCAAAUCAACUCUUUUUCUUCAUGCUGGGAUCUUCAUCGUGCCACUUGCUCAGCUUUCUUCUCUCCACCUUUCGAAUUGUUGUGGAGUAAGGCCUUCUGAUCUCUAUCAUUCCCUCCUCCUUGAGCUUCCUGUUCACAAUCCACUUCCUGUUUUUAAAUCGCACUGACAUGCCACGCAGGAAUGAUGUGUCCUCUGAGUGGGUUGAUUCCUCUAUGCACACUUUCUUCUCCUCAAGAAUCUGCAAAACAUGACAAUUAUUACGAUAUUCAAUACCUGUGGUGUUUUCUUCUUUUGCAGCUUCUCUUCUGGCCUUUUUGUAUUUGGCUCUUCUUAUUGCUCUCAUCUUGGUUUCCUCAGAGCCAUAAAUUAACAUUACUUGGUCAUGAUCUCUUAGCUUUAUUCCUCCCUCAUGGAUACGUAUGACCAUCUUAGAAGUCCUCAUGAAAGGUCUUCCCAAUAUUAUCGGAAUUCUUCCCUCAUUGGCUAUGUCCACAACUAAAAAGUCAAGUAAAAAUUCCAACUCAUUAAUUCGGACAAUUGCAUCUUCCACCAUACCGAUUGGCUUCUUAAUAGAUCCAUCCGCAAUCGUUAAAGUAGUGUUUGUUGGUUUUAAUUUUAGCCCUCCAAUCCUUUUGAAAGCACUAAAAGGCAUCAAAUUAACGCUUGCUCCGGAAUCAAUUAUGGCUCUCCCUAUGUCCACAUCAUUGAUCACACAAGGAAGCGUCAAAGUCCCUGGAUCCUUCAAUUUUUGCGGAUGAUCCUUCUUUCGAGGCUUAACCAACCGACCCUAAUCGCCUUCAUCAUCAAGAUCAAUCACCUCUCCCAAAUAGUACUUGAUUCUCUUGUCAUACUCAGGAAUUCGUGGGGAUGCUCCAGGAGUAACAAUUACCUGAUUGAAUGUUUCUCUGAAGGGCUCUUGGUAACUGUCCUUUUUUUUCUCCUCCUGGUUCUUCUGCUUUUUAACCUUAUGGUCAUGAAUUCUCUCCUCAUCUUCAUCCUCACUGUUCCCAAUCUCAAUUAUUUCCUCAGCUGCCCUCCUUUUUCUUCUUGUCAUAACAACUUUGCAUUCAUCUUUGGGGUUAACAUCAGUAUUAGCCAUAAACUGAUUUUUCUCUGUGGUUUCUACUCUUUUUGAGAACUGCCCAAUCUGUGUUUCCAAUGACCUGAAGCUAGCUUGAUCGCUAUUCAACUGAGACUCAUAGACCUUGAAGAAUUUAUCAAAUCGGUCACUUAGGUCUCUGACUAUCUCUAUCAAGUUGUUCACCUGCUGCCAUAAAGGUGAUGGUUGUUGCUGUCGAAAGCCUCCUACCGAUCCAGAAGAAUUUUUCUGAUGUUGCGCAAUACUGGGGUGAUUCUUCGAACCCUGGCUGGAACUGCCUUGGUUGAAAGCCCCUUGCUUGUACGGAAACUGGGCUCCCAUGUAGUUAACAUCAUGCUGCAACUCCUCGGGAAAAGCACACUGACCAUUGAUAUGGUCUCCACCACAUAAGUUGCAAAGUUGCUGCGUCUGAGAAACGUUCCUUACCCCCAUUGGAAAUUCAGCAAGGAUCUUUGUCAGCUUGUCCAAUUUCUGGGUCAGGAGAUGAUUUUGUGUUGCCAUCACAUCAUUAGCAAGGAGAUGUAAGAGGCCUCCCUUCUGCGCGCCUCUCUCACUGUGUACCACUUCACUCAUGGCCAUGCUCUCAAUCAGAUCAUAUGCCUCAUCUUCAGUCUUGGUAUUUAUGUUGCCUCCAGCGGAAGCAUCUAUCAUCAUUUUAGACUGAGUAUGGAGGCCCCCCAGGAAGGCAAGUAGAUAUGAAGUCUUAUCAAGUCCAUGGACAGGCGUCUUUCUUACCAAGCCUUUAAAUCUAUCCCAUGCUUGGCCUAGAGUUUCCUCCAUUCCUUGUUUAAAGGCCGAGAUCUCUAACUUCCCUUGAUUGAUCUUGGUUGGCGGGAAGAAUUUGUUCACAAAUUUAGCUGCCAACGCAUCCCAGUUUCUGAAUGUACCUUCCUCGAAAAAAUGCAACCUCGCUUUGGUGUUUCCCCCAAGAGAUAAAGGGAACAGACUGAGUCGAACCCUGUCGUCAGAGACUCCAUUGAUCUUCACGAUGUUGCAAAUCUCGCUGAAAGUGGUUAAAUGAUCAUAUGGAUUUUCAUUUAACAUUCCGUGAAACUGAUUGCUCUGAACAAGCUGAAUAAGAGCAGGGUUCAUAACCAUGUUGGUUGCAUUGUCUGUAGGCAAAGCUAUGUUGUUGAAGUUCAUAGGACCCACCAUGUUGGAUGCGUCCCCAAGUGUACGUCUAGGAGGUGGUUGGUCCGCCAUCUCCUCAAUAUUUUGUGCAGAGGUCUCAAAAGAAGAGUGCAAAAGUUCUUCAGGAGAAGGAAAACUUUCACUUGCAGGGCGUCUCACUUUCCUCCUUCUCCUGUCUAAGAGUCCUUCCAAAAGAGGUUGUUGGUCUUUUCUGCUUCUAGUGUGUCUUGUUUCCUGCAUACACAAGAAACACACCCUAAAAGCACUUUUACAGAAAAUAAAACAAAAUUAAACAGAACAGAAUAAAACAAAUUAUUACAAACAACUCAAAUGUCAAUCAAUUCACACUACUAAAAAUAACCUCGAGUCCCCAGCAACGGCGCCAAAAACUUGUUGACUCACUGGCAAGUGUACCAGAUCGUGCAAGUAAUAUAAUCGGUAAUGCCCGAUAUCGUUCUUCCCAAGAGACUCGAAAGGAUCGUUCGUGUGAAUUAAAAUCGUAAGACUUGUUGAGAGAAAGAAUUGUUGUGAAUGCAAGGACAGAAAAUAAACAUGCAAUGGGUUGAUUCAAUUGACAAGAGAAAAAGCUAUGGAUGAAUGAAGUUGUUGGGGGUUGACAAUUUCAUCUUAUCCGCUCCCUCUUAUCUACUCCUCUUGUUUAAUGUACUUGAUUAUCCAAUUGUUAUGCAAACUUUCUUGACCUAUCCUUAACCCGAUCCCUCGGCGAAAAUAGCCUAUUACUAAUUACCAAUUUGUUAUCCCUAACCUCCCCUAGCAAUUAAUAAUGCAUUAAGAACAAAAGCAAAAACAAUUGAUCGUCCUACCCCCUAUCCCUAGGUUGGUAUUGCUUAAUCAACGAAUUUCUCACCAGUUCAUGACAUUACUCUACGUUCGCAUAUCAAUAAAGACAAACAACAGUUAUCGAAUGAGUUAAACGAUAAAAGUAUUAAGCGCAUAUGAGAACCCAACAAUUGAUAAUCAAAUCAUAUGAAGAAUCAUAUAAAUAAACAAGAGUUUCAAUAAAAGAGAGUUUCAAAAGAUUACAUUGUUUCCCCAACAAUAGAAGGGUUUAGUUCACCAUUGUCAUGGUGAACUUAGAUGAAAAUAAUGGUAGAAUGGAAGAGCAAACCCUAGAUAGGAUGAAAAAGGAGCCUAAGCAUCCAAGAAAUCUUCUCCAAGGAGUGAAAAUUAGGUCUGGCAGCCCUCUUCUGUCAAAAGAAUGAGAAUGAAAUCGCAGCAGGGCUAUUUAUAGUUGAGGAGCGUCACAGAAAACAAGCCCAGGCCCAGCGGACAACUGCCCGGCGGCACACUUAUGUCGCCCGGCGGUUUGCCUCUAAUCGCGCCACCGCCCGGCGGUUUGCCUCUAAUCGCAAAUCUGCCCAGCGCCCACGCCAGGUUCCUCUCCCUCG